CGGGGCGUAGCGCAGUCCGGUUAGCGCACCUGGUUUGGGACCAGGGGGUCGGUGGUUCGAAUCCACUCGCCCCGA
rnacentral:tRNA from 1 species